rnacentral:rRNA from 1 species
GGAUCCAGACUUUGAUCCUGGCUCAGGAUGAACGCUAGCUACAGGCUUAACACAUGCAAGUCGAGGGGCAGCGGGAUUGAAGCUUGCUUCAAUUGCCGGCGACCGGCGCACGGGUGAGUAACGCGUAUCCAACCUUCCGUACACUCAGGGAUAGCCUUUCGAAAGAAAGAUUAAUACCUGAUGGUAUGAUGAGAUUGCAUGAUAGCAUCAUUAAAGAUUUAUCGGUGUACGAUGGGGAUGCGUUCCAUUAGGUAGUAGGCGGGGUAACGGCCCACCUAGCCGACGAUGGAUAGGGGUUCUGAGAGGAAGGUCCCCCACAUUGGAACUGAGACACGGUCCAAACUCCUACGGGAGGCAGCAGUGAGGAAUAUUGGUCAAUGGACGAGAGUCUGAACCAGCCAAGUAGCGUGAAGGAUGAAGGUCCUACGGAUUGUAAACUUCUUUUAUAAGGGAAUAAACCCUUCCACGUGUGGGAGCUUGUAUGUACCUUAUGAAUAAGCAUCGGCUAACUCCGUGUCAGCAGCCGCGGUAAUACGGAGGAUGCGAGCGUUAUCCGGAUUUAUUGGGUUUAAAGGGAGCGCAGACGGGUCGUUAAGUCAGCUGUGAAAGUUUGGGGCUCAACCUUAAAAUUGCAGUUGAUACUGGCGUCCUUGAGUGCGGUUGAGGUGUGCGGAAUUCGUGGUGUAGCGGUGAAAUGCUUAGAUAUCACGAAGAACUCCGAUUGCGAAGGCAGCACACUAAGCCGUAACUGACGUUCAUGCUCGAAAGUGUGGGUACCAAACAGGAUUAGAUACCCUGGUAGUCCACACGGUAAACGAUGGAUACUCGCUGUUGGCGAUAUACUGUCAGCGGCUUAGCGAAAGCGUUAAGUAUCCCACCUGGGGAGUACGCCGGCAACGGUGCAACUCAAAUGAAUUGACGG